CAUGGGCGAAAGCCUGAUGCAGCAACGCCGCGUGGAGCGAUGAAGGCCUUCGGGUCGUAAAGCUCUGUCCUCAAGGAAGAUAAUGACGGUACUUGAGGAGGAAGCCCCGGCUAACUACGUGCCAGCAGCCGCGGUAAUACGA
rnacentral:rRNA from 1 species